UUGCGGGACUUCCCGAGGAACGUCCGGGCUCCACAGGGCAGGGUGAUGGCUAACGGCCACCCGGGGUGACCCGCGGGACAGUGCCACAGAAAGCAGACCGCCGGAGGCUUCGGCCCCCGGUAAGGGUGAAACGGUGGUGUAAGAGACCACCAGUGCCCAGGGCGACCUGGGCAGCUAGGUAAACCCCACCCGGAGCAAGGUCAAGAGGGGCGCCGUGAAAAGCGCUCUGCGCGGACGAUCGAGGGCUGCCCGCCCGAGUCCGCGGGUAGACCGCACGAGGCCGGUGGCAACGCCGGUCCUAGAUGGAUGG
rnacentral:RNase_P_RNA from 1 species